ACCGACAUCAGCGACUCGUUCUGCGACCCAUUGCCGACGGCGAGGUAGGCGUUCAUCCCCAGCUCGCGCAUCUGUUGUUCGCCGAUCACCCGGGUGAUGACGUUUUUGCUGUAGGUAUCGGCCAGCUGACGCGCCUGGGAAGCCAGAUAGGCGGCGUUACAGAUGUUCGGCGGCAUAUUGCCAAGAUCUUUCGC
rnacentral:antisense_RNA from 1 species